ACAGGUUCGUUCGAUGCAAGGAGUUGGCACAGGAGGCGUCCGAGGCUGUGUAGAGCGGCCGUCUGAACCUGGUGCCACAGCUUACUAUGUUCAACAGAUGCCUGAAGGAAGUGUGUGUAAGGGAGGAUAAAGAGAUCAUGCUGGCCUAUGCAGACGAUGUCGCUGUCGUGACAGGAAGCCAACAAGAUCUUCAAGAGGCCAUGACAAGAUGGAAUGAUGUUUUAAAUAGGGAAGGAAUGAGAAUGAACAAACAAAAAACUUAUUUACUAGUGGACAAGCAACAAGUGAUGGUGUGGCUCUGAGCCACUGUAGUAGGGAUGUUAUGGUUUAAGUGUAGGAAGUUGCAAAUGCUCACCUAACAAUUGCACCUUAGUAGAAAAACACAAACAGGAAGUUUAUGCAAGUUUUUAUCCUUAUAUAAAAUGUUGUAUUGCAUCAAACCUCCAUACAUUACUGUCUCUAUCCAGUAUGAGACCGGUGUUCAGGAAGCACAAGCAUGUGCUGAAUAACAAGAAGCCGGCAUUGGUGAAGGUGACAACAUUUCAUCUAUUUAUACAUACUUUUUAUUAUUAAAGCUUAUCUUAUAAUUAUUUCUGAAGAGAUUGACUAAUUUUUGUAGUAUUUAUGACUUAGAACUAUGAUAAAGCUAUGAAUUGAUAUAAUUCCUGAUUUG